AAUGAAUUUGUAAGAAACAAUUAAUACUGCAAUACUAAUGGCAUCAAUGGGAGAGUUGAAACGACUGAAUGGUAACAGCCUAAACAGUUUCUAAGAUCCUAUCAUUUUUCCAUCAAUUUACUUUUCUGAAUUUUCACAAAUGGAUACAAGGCUUAAUGUAAAUACAUCUAAUAAUACACAGCAAUUACAGAAUUUUUAAAAAAGAUUUGCCUCUCCAAAAUACUGAAGACAAACAAACAAGCACUAUUUUUUCAAGACAUUAAGCCUCAUACAAGAUGCUACACCAAAAUACAUGGUGAUUACUUAAUGAACCUCUCCUUUUUCCCAGAAAUUCAAAGAUUCUUCAGUGAUCUAAGAACAGCUUAACACAGAAAACUACAGGAUACAUAUGGUACAGCCAAGUCUCAAAGCUACCAGUACUAAUGAGCAAUUAAUCAUGCAUGCUGAAUAAGAACAAAUGCAGUUACAAAACCUA